rnacentral:rRNA from 1 species
ACGGGAGGCAGCAGUGGGGAAUAUUGGGCAAUGGGCGCAAGCCUGACCCAGCAACGCCGCGUGAAGGAAGAAGGCUUUCGGGUUGUAAACUUCUUUUAUCAGGGACGAAGAAAGUGACGGUACCUGAUGAAUAAGCCACGGCUAACUACGUGCCAGCAGCCGCGGUAAUACGGAGGAUGCGAGCGUUAUCCGGAUUUACUGGGUUUAAAGGGUGCGCAGGCGGGCCUUUAAGUCAGCGGUGAAAUCCCGUAGCUCAACUACGGAACUGCCGUUGAUACUGGAGGCCUUGAGUCGUGUCGAGGAUGGCGGAAUGCAGCGUGUAGCGGUGAAAUGCUUAGAUAUGCUGCAGAACUCCGAUUGCGAAGGCAGCUGUCCAGAGACGAACUGACGCUGAGGCACGAAAGCAUGGGUAUCAAACAGGAUUAGAUACCCUGGUA